GCAGUCGAGCGGACAGAUGGGAGCUUGCUCCCUGAUGUUAGCGGCGGACGGGUGAGUAACACGUGGGUAACCUGCCUGUAAGACUGGGAUAACUCCGGGAAACCGGGGCUAAUACCGGAUGGUUGUCUGAACCGCAUGGUUCAGACAUAAAAGGUGGCUUCGGCUACCACUUACAGAUGGACCCGCGGCGCAUUAGCUAGUUGGUGAGGUAACGGCUCACCAAGGCGACGAUGCGUAGCCGACCUGAGAGGGUGAUCGGCCACACUGGGACUGAGACACGGCCCAGACUCCUACGGGAGGCAGCAGUAGGGAAUCUUCCGCAAUGGACGAAAGUCUGACGGAGCAACGCCGCGUGAGUGAUGAAGGUUUUCGGAUCGUAAAGCUCUGUUGUUAGGGAAGAACAAGUGCCGUUCAAAUAGGGCGGCACCUUGACGGUACCUAACCAGAAAGCCACGGCUAACUACGUGCCAGCAGCCGCGGUAAUACGUAGGUGGCAAGCGUUGUCCGGAAUUAUUGGGCGUAAAGGGCUCGCAGGCGGUUUCUUAAGUCUGAUGUGAAAGCCCCCGGCUCAACCGGGGAGGGUCAUUGGAAACUGGGGAACUUGAGUGCAGAAGAGGAGAGUGGAAUUCC
rnacentral:rRNA from 1 species